rnacentral:rRNA from 1 species
UACGAAGGGGGCUAGCGUUGCUCGGAAUGACUGGGCGUAAAGGGCGCGUAGGCGGUUUGUACAGUCAGGUGUGAAAUUCCCGGGCUCAACCUGGGGGCUGCACUUGAUACGUAUGGACUGGAGUGGGGAAGAGGGUCGUGGAAUUCCCAGUGUAGAGGUGAAAUUCGUAGAUAUUGGGAAGAACACCGGUGGCGAAGGCGGCGACCUGGUCCUUGACUGACGCUGAGGCGCGAAAGUGUGGGGAUCAAACAGG